rnacentral:sRNA from 1 species
GCUGGGCAUGGUGGUGCACACCUGUAAUCCCAGUAGCUCCAGAGGCUGAGGCAGGAGGAUCAUGAGUUCAGAGCCAGCCUCAGCAAAAGCGAGGUGCUAAGCAACUCAGUGAGACCCUGUCUCUA